rnacentral:rRNA from 1 species
AUGCUGACAUAAGUAACGAUAAAGCGGGUGAAAAGCCCGCUCGCCGGAAGACCAAGGGUUCCUGUCCAACGUUAAUCGGGGCAGGGUGAGUCGACCCCUAAGGCGAGGCCGAAAGGCGUAGUCGAUGGGAAACAGGUUAAUAUUCCUGUACUUGGUGUUACUGCGAAGGGGGGACGGAGAAGGCUAUGUUGGCCGGGCGACGGUUGUCCCGGUUUAAGCGUGUAGGCUGGUUUUCCAGGCAAAUCCGGAAAAUCAAGGCUGAGGCGUGAUGACGAGGCACUACGGUGCUGAAGCAACAAAUGCCCUGCUUCCAGGAAAAGCCUCUAAGCAUCAGGUAACAUCAAAUCGUACCCCAAACCGACACAGGUGGUCAGGUAGAGAAUACCAAGGCGCUUGAGAGAACUCGGGUGAAGGAACUAGGCAAAAUGGUGCCGUAACUUCGGGAG